CUGCUCCAAAAUGAUGACAAUUCAACAACCACUUAAACAAGUCUGUCCGGCAGCCAAAAGAAGAUCACGCAAAUGACUUUGAUGGUGAGAGAUCGAGUUGGCUUGAAAGUCAUAGAUGUGUUAAUGUGGGUCUGAACAGCAUGCAUGGACGACUUGCACAGCUUCUCUCAGUCACGAACAGAUGCUACGCCGGGCUUGAGCUGCUAGGACAUCACUUCCACCGUUCGACCUUGUGGCAGCUGUACACCGGUGUCCCAGGGUCUCCGGCUACACUUUGUCCUUCGGCUUCACCGACGUCGCACAGU
rnacentral:lncRNA from 1 species